rnacentral:rRNA from 1 species
UUUCAGGGCCAUGCCACCCUGAACAAGUCUGAUCCCGUCUGAUCUGGGAAGCUAAGCAGGGUCGGGCCUGGUUAGUACUUGGAUGGGAGACCACCUAGGAAUAGCAGGUGCUGUAGGCA